UGACACCAGGUGCUGCAUAAUUUUUGCCUCAUUCUGGCCAAAGAGCUUUUGAUAAAAGCUCCUUGUUCUGACAUGUAUCUGACACUCACACGCGGCCAAGUCACACUAGCUGCGCAUGCACUCCGACGUCUUCCAUUUGCUUGGUUUCAGCAAAGGGCACCUGGGCACCCUACCGACCACCUGUCAGCUUCUCCCUCCUCUCUCCCUGACUGAGGCAGAGGCAACAGGGGACCACCACACCCGCCCUGGGUGGUUGGCCCCAACUCAGGGGUGUUACCCAGUAACCUAACAAGAACAAGAACAAGUUACUGCAAACGGGACUCUGGCCGACAGUGUCACAGACUGUGACAGAGAUCAAAGGUUCUGCAGCAGGCACUACAGGAGUAGAGGCCACAUUCCCCUGACGGUUGAGUCCCAUGCUCUACCGACUGAGCUAGCCGGGCUACACGAUUGCAAAUGACCGGAAUACACGAUCCAACCAGUCUCCCACACCCGAGGGUUCAGAGGCUCAGGUCAACAGGACAGCCAAGAGGCAAAGGGUGACGAGGCAGGUCAAAGCCCCCGCCAAGGAAAAAGAUCAGUCUUGCUUCAGGGAUCCUCCCAUCGUCCACUCCGUGCAGCGCCCAGACCACUCCUGUAACUGUCAGGACACUCAGCACCAAAAUGCAGAAAAGAGCG